rnacentral:lncRNA from 1 species
AACAACACGUGAGGCUUCCUGGAGCUCCAGCCGCUCCCAGAUCACCACGGCACGAAGGCGGGGCCUGGACCCUGCAACUUCCCUUGCACUUGAGCGGCUGACCACAUGUGCAGAGUUGAUGUGAACUACCACGGAGUUAUUUCUUGGCCGAGGAGGCUCGGGACUGCGUGUGACACCUGGACACUGCUUGGCUUUGGUCUGGGAACCGUCUGCUCAUGACACCCCACACCGUGGAUUGGAACCAGGACCUCUCUGCCUGGGGGGGCUCUCACCCCUUCUGAAAGGAGAGCUGGCUGCAGUCUCCUCCAUCGGGAGGGAAGCCGACCAGAACAAAUCCUGGGUACCCUUGGAGCACGUUGCCAGAGAGACCGCCGGGAAGAACACGCAGGUCCACCAUUCUGGGUCGGUCUGAAGCCAGGCCCUGCCAGGAGUCCUGAGGACGAGGGGCGAUCUGGAAAAGGUGUU